rnacentral:rRNA from 1 species
UCCACGCCCUAAACGAUGUCGAUUAGCUGUUGGGCAGCAUGACUGCUUAGUAGCGAAGCUAACGCGUGAAAUCGACCGCCUGGGGAGUACGGUCGCAAGAUUAAAACUCAAAGGAAUUGACGGGGACCCGCACAAGCGGUGGAUGAUGUGGAUUAAUUCGAUGCAACGCGAAGAACCUUACCUGGUCUUGACAUGUACGGAACCCUCCAGAGACGGAGGGGUGCCUUCGGGAGCCGUAACACAGGUGCUGCAUGGCUGUCGUCAGCUCGUGUCGUGAGAUGUUGGGUUAAGUCCCGCAACGAGCGCAACCCUUGUCAUUAGUUGCCAUCAUUAAGUUGGGCACUCUAAUGAGACUGCCGGUGACAAGCCGGAGGAAGGUGGGGAUGACGUCAAGUCCUCAUGGCCCUUAUGACCAGGGCUUCACACGUCAUACAAUGGUCGGUACAGAGGGUAGCCAAGCCGCGAGGUGGAGCCAAUCUCACAAAACCGAUCGUAGUCCGGAUUGCACUCUGCAACUCGAGUGCAUGAAGUCGGAAUCGCUAGUAAUCGCAGGUCAGCAUACUGCGGUGAAUACGUUCCCGGGUCUUGUACACACCGCCCGUCACACCAUGGGAGUGGGGGAUACCAGAAGUA